rnacentral:lncRNA from 1 species
UCUACACAAUAGGGGUUACUUUGACAACAUGUUGCUUUAAUCAAUUAAAUUGAAUAUACUAGACAUCCAAAGGGAACAAUCAAAACCAAAGUUUUGAAUUUAUUUUAAAACUUAAAAUUGGAAAAACUGAAUUCUCAAAGGCACAUGUUUUUUUUAUUUUAAACCAAAAGGCACAUGUCUUGGACCCAUUAUGAAACAAAAGUCAACAAUUGCAACUGAAUCAUAUAAUGCAAUUGAAAUUGAUCCAUUGUGAAAGGUUACGUGUAUUACCAAUCUAUACUAAAUAUGCCAAAUAGUAUUCUGUCAUACACCAUUCUAUAUUGACUCCAUUAUGAGACAUAAAACAAGGGUCAAAAAAUGCGGCUAAUCCAUGCAGUUGAAAUUCUGAUUUCUGGAUCCAUAAUGAAGGUCACAGAUUUUGACAGUGAUCUACAUGCUAUCAAAAGUGAUAUAUCCAUUAUAAACAGUCCAAAAUUGCUGACUUGCUCUUGAUGCAAUUGAAAUUCAUUAUAAAAUGAUCCGAAACUGCAGAUGUCUAAAAGGCAGAUGAAAUUCAGA